rnacentral:rRNA from 1 species
GAUGAACGCUAGCGGCAGGCUUAAUACAUGCAAGUCGAGGGACAGCACAGGUAGCAAUACUGGGUGGUAACCGGCAAACGGGUGCGGAACACGUACACAACCUUCCUUUAAGUGGGGGAUAGCCCAGAGAAAUUUGGAUUAAUACCCCGUAAUAUAGUUGAAUGGCAUCAUUUGAUUAUUAUAGCUACGGCGCUUAAUGAUGGGUGUGCGGCUGAUUAGAUAGUUGGCGGGGUAACGGCCCACCAAGUCCACGAUCAGUAGCUGAUGUGAGAGCAUGAUCAGCCACACGGGCACUGAGACACGGGCCCGACUCCUACGGGAGGCAGCAGUAAGGAAUAUUGGUCAAUGGACGCAAGUCUGAACCAGCCAUGCCGCGUGAAGGAGUAAGGUCCUCUGGAUUGUAAACUUCUUUUAUUUGGGACGAAAAAGGGUCUUUCUAGACCAACUGACGGUACCAGAUGAAUAAGCACCGGCUAACUCCGUGCCAGCAGCCGCAGUAAGAC